UAAAAUUGACGGUGUUAAACUUGGUAAUGAAUUCCUUAUAUUCCGAAUUGAUCUUACAUUAGCAAAAUCUGGUAAGUUUAUACAACUAAUAAAAAGUCAAAAUUACUGGCGAUAUAGCUAGAUUAAUUAUCACAUGGCCUUCAACCUUUCUAUGUUGCUCCUCUUUUUCAAUUUUACUGCCCUAUUAACCUAUCUCAUUUCUUUGUGUAGAUUGCAAGAUAAAUCGGUGAUGCAUGGUCAGAUGUUGAUUGCAAGGUCAAGAACAUGGGUGCUACUAGAUAGUUUCACAUUGUGUUUCAGAAUGUCAUUUUCAUUGUCGAUGUGUCAAUCAUUAUGAUUCAGGCAUUUUCAGUGUCAAUGUUUAGAUCAUUAUGUUUCAAAAUGGCUGAGACGUUGGUUGCAAGAUCAAGAAUAGGACCAGUACUAGUUUCACAUCUUGUAAUCUUUGUAUCCAGAUCCUUGUAAUGCAACCAAGUUGAUUUAAUAUAUGAGACAGUUCUGUUUGUUAUACUGCGUCCUCUAUGCAAUAUUGGCAUUGACCUAAUAAUUCUUGAUCGGAAUUGACCUAAUAAUUCUGGAUGGUCAUAUAUAUAGUAUCGUGCAU
rnacentral:lncRNA from 1 species